rnacentral:rRNA from 1 species
CCUACGGGAGGCAGCAGUGAGGAAUAUUGGUCAAUGGGCUUACGCCUGAACCAGCCAAGUCGCGUGAGGGAAGACUGCCCUAUGGGUUGUAAACCUCUUUUGUCAGGGAGCAACGCCGGCACCGUGUAGCCUGACUGAGAGUACCUGAAGAAAAAGCAUCGGCUAACUCCGUCCCAGCAGCCGCGGUAAUACGGAGGAUGCGAGCGUUCUCCGGAUUUAUUGGGUUUAAAGGGUGCGUAGGCGGAAUGCAAAGUCAGCGCGAAAAUCGCGGGGCUCAACCUCGCUCCGCCGUUGAAACUGGCGUUCUUGAGUGGGCGAGAAGUAUGCGGAAUGCGUGGUGUAGCGGUGAAAUGCAUAGAUAUCACGCAGAACUCCGAUUGCGAAGGUAGCAUACCGGCGCACAACUGACGCUGAGGCACGAAAGCGUGGGUAUCGAACAGGAUUAGAUACCCCAGUAGUC